GAUUAGAUACCCCACUAUGCUUAGCCCUAAACCUAGAUAUCUACCCACAAAGAUAUCCGCCAGAGAACUACAAGCUAAAUGCUCAAAACUCAAAGGACUUGACGGUGCUUCAAACCCACCUAGAGGAGCCUGUUCUAUAAGCGAUAACCCACGAUAAACCUUACCAUCCCUUGCUCCCAGCCUAUAUACCGCCGUCUCCAGCUCACCUUAUGAAAGAAAAAAAGUAAGCUCAAUAGUCCAUACAACUAAAAAGUCAGGUCGAGGCGUAGCCAAUGAGAUGGAAGCAAUGGGCUACAUUUUCUAAAAAUAGAAAUAGUCACGGAGAGAAUCCUGAAAAAAGAUCUCAAAAGUAGAAUUUAGCAGUAAUUUUGGAAUAGUGAGCCAAAAUUAAACAGGAAAUGAAGCACGUACAUACCGCCCGUCACCCUCCUCAAAAACACUAACAAAUUAAAUAAAACCCCAUUUAAAAAGAGAGGAGACAAGUCGUAACAAGGUAAGUGUACCGGAAGGUGUACUUGGAAUAUA
rnacentral:rRNA from 1 species